GAUUCCAUAGCAAGAAAACAGCAUGUGCUAUUGGUUUGGGGGUUGGCAGCAGGUGGAAUCAGAAGUGUCUUGAGGAGAGUGUUAGUGAAAUAGCCCAAAAGCCAAUGAGGAGGCUGUUGGUGAAGGUUUUAAGGAAAAUGAAGGAAAUGUUAUUGGAAGCUGAAAGAACUGGGACUCAUCAUGCAGUGGUAGAAGUGUUGGCAACCUGUCUUCUGCAGUAAAUGUGGUAAACAGGAAAUGAAUCUAACAAACUCAAUGAUCGAGGAGAAUAUCGAAAAUUCCACCUAGCCACUUCUUGCCAGCUAAGAUAAAAAUGCAAGAGAAGGGAGAGUACAGUUCCCAGGUCUUCAGAUUAGCAGAACUAUGCUCAAGGAGUUGUCUCCAAGGAGCCUCACCUGCACCUAGGCCUGCUUUAGCUGAUGAAACUCUGGGCUUUGAGCCUGAGACCAAUUCUGCAACGGGAUAAAGCAUUUCGGGUCUUGAAAGAUGGCUCUUCGAUAGCUUGACCAAAAGUAAAUGGCUGAAGCGAUUCUCCACCAGUUUCUGGAGCCAGGGCAUUAAAAAUGGUGGAUUUGAGUUCUUGUAUUUCGUGAUUGCCCCUGGGACCUAACUACCACGCUGUGAGAAGAGAAGACCCAGCAGCCCGUGGGGAGGCCCAUAUAAGAGGAAGCCAAGCCCUCAGCCAUCAAUCAGCACUAAUUUCCUAGUGCUGUGAGUGACCUGCUUUGGAAGUAGAUCCUGCAGUCCACAAAUGUUUAUGGUGUGGAGAAGUGAAGAACUGAUCUUGCUGAGUCCUGCUCAAAUUGCAUGGGCAAGGACUCUGGUGUACUCUGAUGUGCCUGCACAUUAAAACAGCAUGAAGCUACUGCGGUGGGUAUACAGAGAGCGGAAGGAAGAUUAGCCCUGAGCUAACAUCCCUGCCCAUCCUCCUCUACCCUAUAUGUAGGACGCCUACCACAGCAUGGCUUGACAAGCAGUGCCCAGGUCUGCACCCGGGACCCGAACUGGUGAACCCUGGGCCACCAAAGCAGAAUUAUGUGAAUGUAACUGCUGUGCCACCAGGCCGGCCCCUGUGUGUGUCUUUUUCUUAAUCAUUGUUAUGUUUUGAAACGUCUUGACUUUUCCAUGAUCAGUUACAUAUUAAAUUAUAUUUUCUUUCCAUAAUGUUUUAUGGUGUCUCUCUUUCACAUUUCACUUUUAAUUCAACUGGAACUUAUUUUAUCAUGUGUUGAGGUGAACAAUUGACUUGAUUUUUUUUCUUAACUCCCAGGUAGCCAUUUUUCUCUACAUAAUAGCUUAAAUAGCUAACAUCAUAUAUUGGCAUAUGUGUACACUUUAACACAUGCUCAGUUUGUAUGUAGAUUUCUUCUCAGAGCUGUCUGUUCUGCUACACUGAUCUAUCAUUUAUUGUGCCAGUUCCACAUCUUUAAUUACUAUAGACUUAUGAUGUUAUUUAAGAGCUGACAAUGCAUGUACCGUCUUAUUCAUCUUUGUUUUUAACACUCUUAUUUAUUUCCCUCCUUUAAUUCAUCAAAAUGGACUUUAGAACCCUAAUUUUUAUGUUUUCUUAAAAUCUCAUCAUGUUUUCUAUCAUAGUAUAAUUAAAACCUAUAAAUUGUGCAGGAAAAAUUCUUUUUACAUUAGUCAGUUUUUAUAUCCAGGAAU
ensembl:lncRNA